rnacentral:rRNA from 1 species
GUGCCAGCCGCCGCGGUAAUACGUAGGGUGCGAGCGUUGUCCGGAAUUACUGGGCGUAAAGAGCUCGUAGGUGGUUUGUCGCGUUGUUCGUGAAAACUCACAGCUUAACUGUGGGCGUGCGGGCGAUACGGGCAGACUAGAGUACUGCAGGGGAGACUGGAAUUCCUGGUGUAGCGGUGGAAUGCGCAGAUAUCGGGAGGAACACCGGUGGCGAAGGCGGGUCUCUGGGCAGUAACUGACGCUGAGGAGCGAAAGCGUGGGGAGCGAACAGGAUUAGAUACCCUGGUAGUCCACGCCGUAAACGGUGGGUACUAGGUGUGGGUUCCUUCCUUGGGAUCCGUGCCGUAGCUAACGCAUUAAGUACCCCGCCUGGGGAGUACGGCCGCAAGGCUAAAACUCAAAGGAAUUGACGGGGGCCCGCACAAGCGGCGGAGCAUGUGGAUUAAUUCGAUGCAACGCGAAGAACCUUACCUGGGUUUGACAUGCACAGGACGCCGGCAGNAGAUGUCGGUUCCCUUGUGGCCUGUGUGCAAGGGCGAUU